rnacentral:rRNA from 1 species
UACGAAGGGGGCUAGCGUUGUUCGGAAUCACUGGGCGUAAAGCGUGCGCAGGCGGUUCGUUGUGUCGGCGGUGAAAGCCCCGGGCUCAACCUGGGAAUGGCCGUUGAAACUGGCGAACUGGAGUGUGGCAGAGGGGGGUGGAAUUCCGCGUGUAGCAGUGAAAUGCGUAGAGAUGCGGAGGAACACCGAUGGCGAAGGCAGCCCCCUGGGCUGACACUGACGCUCAGGCACGAAAGCGUGGGGAGCAAACAGG